GAGUUUGAUCCUGGCUCAGGAUGAACGCUAGCGGCAGGCUUAACACAUGCAAGUCGAGGGGUAACAUUGGAGCUUGCUUCAGAUGACGACCGGCGCACGGGUGCGUAACGCGUAUACAAUCUGCCUCAUACUGAGGGAUAGCCUUUGGAAACGAAGAUUAAUACCUCAUAGUAUCAUUGAUUGGCAUCGAUUAAUGAUUAAAGGUUACGGUAUGAGAUGAGUAUGCGUCCUAUUAGCUAGUUGGUGUGGUAACGGCAUACCAAGGCGACGAUAGGUAGGGGUCCUGAGAGGGAGAUCCCCCACACUGGUACUGAGACACGGACCAGACUCCUACGGGAGGCAGCAGUGAGGAAUAUUGGACAAUGGAGGCAACUCUGAUCCAGCCAUGCCGCGUGAAGGAUGACUGCCCUAUGGGUUGUAAACUUCUUUUAUAUAGGAAGAAACACUGCUACGUGUAGCAGCUUGACGGUACUAUAUGAAUAAGCACCGGCUAACUCCGUGCCAGCAGCCGCGGUAAUACGGAGGGUGCAAGCGUUAUCCGGAAUCAUUGGGUUUAAAGGGUCCGUAGGCGGGCUAAUAAGUCAGAGGUGAAAUCCUGCAGCUCAACUGUAGAACUGCCUUUGAUACUGUUGGUCUUGAGUUAUUGUGAAGUGGUUAGAAUAUGUAGUGUAGCGGUGAAAUGCAUAGAUAUUACAUAGAAUACCGAUUGCGAAGGCAGAUCACUAACAAUAUACUGACGCUGAUGGACGAAAGCGUGGGUAGCGAACGGGAUUAGAUACCCCGGUAGUCCACGCCGU
rnacentral:rRNA from 1 species